rnacentral:lncRNA from 1 species
ACCGCCAUCCGCAUAAACUAAAGCUGUCCUUUGUCAAGGUGUCGCGGGGUCAAGUUGAGCUAGUUCGGUUCUUGCACUGGACCGGCUUUGGUCGAUCCUUCCUCCUCCUCUUCAAGCCGCGCGGAAGACUUUCUUCAUCCAUCCAGGGAUAAUGAGGGGGAGGAAGACCUCGCCUCUCUUUUCCACGUCGUGCCCUCCCAAGAAUAUCUCGUUUUUACCGUUACUGGCCACGAUCUGGGUCGCCCAGAAAUCCCACCAUGUCCUCGUUCUCUCUGCUCCUUAACAAGAGAGCAUGCAUCCAAUGGUUUUCCCGU